GACGAAGAGACAAACUGCCCAGGAAAGCUUUACCCUGAGAGUGAAGCAGAGGAGAUAGAACGCAAAUGGGCAAAAAGCACCCUCCAACAGUUUAUAGAGCACACCAAGAUCUGCGACGAGAUAUUGGCCCUGGGUGAUGAGGAUGAGACCCCUUUACCUCCUCAUCCUAUGCAGGUGUUUCCUGACGCAACAUCUGCAUGUGUUCUUGGGUUAGACUGCCACCACCGUGUUUACAGGACCCAUGACACUUCUACCACCCCAUCAACUCUUGGGUAUCGCAAACCACAAGCUAUGCUACAAAUAUUUUCUUUGCGUUUAUCAAGCUUUGAGCCCUCGUAUACAACUAGUGUGUACGGGAUAUUUGCCAUUCGGGAUAACUUUGACCCGCGCCGGAAUUAUGU